rnacentral:rRNA from 1 species
GAUGAACGCUGGCGGCGUGCUUAACACAUGCAAGUCGAACGAAGCACAUUAGCGGAAGCCUUCGGGUGGAAGGUGAUGUGACUUAGUGGCGGACGGGUGAGUAACGCGUGGAUAACCUGCCUUAUACAGGGGGAUAACGGAGAGAAAUUUCCGCUAAGACCGCAUAAGACCACAGCACCGCAUGGUGCGGGGGUAAAAUAUUAAUAGGUAUAAGAUGGAUCCGCGUCCGAUUAGCUUGUUGGCGGGGUAGAGGCCCACCAAGGCGACGAUCGGUAGCCGGCCUGAGAGGGUGAACGGCCACAUUGGGACUGAGACACGGCCCAAACUCCUACGGGAGGCAGCAGUGGGGAAUAUUGGACAAUGGGGGGAACCCUGAUCCAGCGACGCCGCGUGAGUGAAGAAGUAUUUCGGUAUGUAAAGCUCUAUCAGCAGGGAAGAAAAUGACGGUACCUGACUAAGAAGCCCGGCUAAAC